GAAAUAAUGGGGACGAUAAUAAAACAGGGGGAAAACCCGCUGGAGAGAAGCUGAAUGGAUGAAGCUGGAGAGACGUCACUGGCAGCCGCAGCCAUGAAGACCGUGCGGUCCAGCCUCCGGCGAAUCACUUCGCCUCCAUCCUCCGAGACGCUCGCUGCUCGGUUUGGGAGAGGAGCAGAUCCCGCAGCGGCUCGCGUUCAGCGGCGUGAGAUAUUGGCCCAUGUUUCUUGGCCUUGGGUUUAAGAGGAUGGGUAGCCUUAGGGGUUGAUUGUUAUCUUUGGUUAUCUAGCUGUAUGAGUGAUGUACAUUCUUCAUAAAGCUAGAUAACCGAAAGUAACAAGAAUCCCAUUACACUCCUGGAAAGGCAUCAAGACCCAAAGUGACUCCUUUCAUCAAAAUUUUUUAAAAUACACAAGAAGAAGUUUAACUUGAGAAAAAAUGGACUGCAUUUUAAAGGAGAAUAGAUCGUUCAUCAAAUAAAGGGUACCUUACCAAAUAGAGAAAAGAUGGCAAAAGAAGACUGAAAACAGAAGAGGAGGAGGGGUUGCUGUUGAUUGUGCCCUCCCUCUCUCAUCGCCCUCUUCUGCAUCGCCUCUUCCCACCUCCUCCUCUUCUCUUUCUCCUCCACACCAUCCUCAGCAGACUGCCCCUUUUUCCUGUACAGCGAAAUGCAGCCCACGCCACCAUCUUAGAGCAACGCUGGCAUAAAAUGGAAGUGGAAAGACCAGUCACUGCAGAUAAACGUUGGUGGUCACGGGGUUCCAGAAUGGACAGAACAUACAAUGGGGAGACAGCAGGACUCCUCUUUCACGGCUUGCUGCCAUUCAGCUGAUGUAAACAAGGAUGCUGCUGUCUGUGUGCAACUUGAUGGAUCUUGUUUCCAUGUCUGUGGGACACUUUGACCCACCUGGACGUUUUGUGAAGCCCUUUUGGUGAUUUAGCUGCAAAAAUUUAAUUUUGAACAGUGGCUGUGGAAUCCUGUGACUUAGAAAGAUGAUGCAUAGCACUAUAAUGCUGCAGAUUUUUUUUAAUUCUACGAUUGAUUUUUUUUUUGCAUGUUGUAUACGUCUGUACAUAAUAUUAUACAGACAAGCAGUGUAUUUCUAUAACUAACAUAUAGGCUCUCCCUUAUCUAGGUUGCUUUCAAUUUGAGUUUUAGCCCUCGCUGAUGUUCAGUUUGAUGUUUUGUUUUAGUUGCUAGGACUCAAAAGACACGUGAAUGUGAGACCCACGACAGCAGUGAAUAAUACUGCACUGCGAUUGGACAGCUCCGUGUGUCGGCUGACACAAUGGCGAAGGAGAGAGCUGUCGUCUUUAUACUCUAUGCAACUGUUCUGUCUGUUUUGGUUUUGUUUUGGGCAGAGCCUUUUUUAUCUACACUUUGGAUUUUUCUUUAUGGGCUAACAAUUAAUGGACAUUCCUUCAUACAUUAUCAAGACAAAUUGUGUUUUAUCCAGAAGCGUACGUUCCUAAUUUUUAUAUGUAAAAACUGGAAUUAGAGGAGGUGUGUGUCAUAUUUGAUUGGUAAUUAUAUUUUAAAGCCUGGAAAAAUAUCUUUGUGAAUAAAUGUGGAAUCAAAUAUAUAAUAUUCCUGAUGGCAGUAGUGUGUUUGAUCAGGAGGAAGUGAAACAUUGCUGCUGUGUGUAUGUUUCCUCUGAGGCACAUUAGUUUGCCUCAUAACAGUUACCUGUGCUGCUGUAAUGAUACAUCUUUGGGUAAGACAUGACAAAUACAUUGGCUUCAAACACUGCCUUAAUUUCCUGUUCACACACAAAUGCACACACACAGAUCCCAGUGCAAUAACACAAGUACCAUUGCAGCUUAAUUCAUUUUAUAUUAAUUUUCGGAAAGUGGAUUUUUUUUUUUAUUAUGAUUGAUAAUCUAUGCAAAUCUUUUAAAGUAUUACUUUAAACAAUCUAUGCACUGCUCUUCUGCUCUUGCAUUUGAUUCAAGGGAGACUGUCUUGGCCUAAUUUAGAAAAUGUAUUCUUUUGAUAAUCAUGCACAUCCCAGUGCUCGAGACAAUUACUUAUCUGCCUGGAUAAGCUUGAAAUUAUGUUUUUAAUCUUUUGCAAAAAAAAGUCUCUCUUCUAAUAUCAGUUGAGAGGCAUAAAAACCAUGAUUUCUGGUGUGAAAUAAUUAAAUCACUAUCACUUAAUAUCCUUGCUUUUUUUUAAAUGCAAAUGUAAUUUAUCUGUUUAGCUUUGUCUGCUUAUUAGCUUAUUUUUUUUUAGAAGAUGUAUGUUUGUAUUAUGCAACUUGUGUAUAAGUGCUCACCACAUGUGCCUUUGUAUGCAAAUCUGUAUUAGAAUAGUAAUAAAGGUUUACAUUGAAAACAAUGAAAA